GCCAACGUCCAUACCACGUUGAAAACACCGUUUCUCGUCCGAUCACCGAAGUUAAGCAACGUCGGGCGCGGUCAGUACUUGGAUGGGUGACCGCCUGGGAACACCGCGUGACGUUGGCU
rnacentral:rRNA from 1 species